GGGUCCAGAUGCGGCUCCAGGAGGAGGCGCAGUGCAUCAUGUGACCCAUCCUGGCCAAUCAAAAUACUACAUCACCGGCCAGAGUAACAGGUGCUCAGAUUGGCUGAUGUCCCAAGUUAGCCCAAUCAGUGACUAACAGGACUUUUGAGGAGGUGGGAAAAAGAGACCUCCGUGGGAAGAAGUAAGGCUGAAACUGCCACAGCCAUCUUGUGACUAUGAGGAGGAGCCAACCGAGCACAGACUGACAGAGCAGGUGUUACUGAGGAUGGAGAAAGAAAGAAAUUGGGUUCUGGUGACAUUACAUCCUGGACCUAGCAAUGUCUGAAAUGAUACCCUGUGCUUUUCAGUGUCAUGAGCCAGAUCUACCCCUACAUCCCAGUGAUCUCUUGUUUGGAGAUACCUCUGCUGUCCAUUGAAUAAGUCUCACAAGAUCUGAUGGGUUUAUCAGAGGUUCCCACUUUUAUUUCUUCAUCAUUUUCUCACCACUGCCAUGUAAAAAGUGCUUCAACCCCGACGAUGAUUCUGAGGCCUCCACAGCCAUGUGGAACUGUGUUUUACCACCCAUUUUGGGCUCUUCAUGCCAGGAUGAAAACGUCAGAAGCAGAAAGGCAUUUUUUAAUCUGAACCCCAUGCUGAAGGUCAUGGCCAUGUCAAAAUAAGUUUCUACUCUUUAGGACCAGGAGACU